AACGAAACCAAACCACAUCCUCAAAAUGAUCCUGUUAGUAUCACUUUGAAUUACUCAACUCCUUAUGACAGAAAAAAGCUAAAACUGUACUGAAAACGUUCAGAAGAAAGGCUCCUAACAACCACAGAUCCUGAAAGAUCAAGUUAACAUAAAGGAUUUUUAAUGCUACUCAGUCAUACUUAGAAGCAUCUAUGGACCAACCACCUAUUCAUGCUCUGAGCUAAAGGAACUAGGAAGACAACAUAUAGCACUUAUCUACAUGGGUCUGCAGCUACUGAGCUGAUAGCAAGGACUAAAAUGGGAGCACUGUAGAGGAAAAACAUUUUCAGCCUGACCAAUAUGGAGAAACCCCAUCUCUACUAAAAAUACAAAAUUAGAGGAGAGUAGGUUCCAAGAUGGCUAAAUAGGAACAGCUCCAGUCUACAGCUCCCAGCGUGAGUGACACAGAAGAUGGGUGACUUCUGCAUUUCCAACUGAGGAUAUAUGACUGUGUGGCCUGAAAAUCUCAGAAAGUAAAAGCAAAGAAAUUGAAAGACACGGAAAGAACUAGGCCGGGACCAGCACUGGGCCUUAAUAACCAGUUCACUGAGAUGUGUGCAUUUCUUCUCAUCUCAGAGGAUGUUUCUCUUCCACAGGAAGAGGAAGGAACCAGUUGUUACUGGAUGUGUGGGCUGAGAGCUGUCGGGCAUUUUCAGCAUGCCUUGGUCUCAGCUGUGGGAACUGGGGAUGCAGCUUAGAUUCCCAGGCCCGGGAUAGUCGGUAUUACUGCAGUAGUCUGGGGCGUCACAGUUUAGAAAUACAGUAUCUCAGGAAGUUGGAAGGCAGAAAUAAUACCUGGAACACCUCCAGUUCCCAGAAACGUGCUAAUUUUCUAAAGGAAAUUCUAAAAAGUAUUUAUUGGGCUCCCAAAUAGCAUGAUUUAUAAAUCCUUUUGUAAAGUUGCCUUUUUUUUUUCUGUCUUCACAUUUUGUACGGCAAAGUUCAAGUCCUAAAUCAUAUUUGUCAAUAGGAGUAAGGACAAGUUUCACUGCAUAAGUAUUCUUUAACUAGGACUAUUUUAAAAAACUUUAAGAGUAUCAAAUUGUUGGUAAAUUCAUUAAUAUGUUUUCUUUCCCUGUGACUUUGAAACUUAAAGAGAAAAAAGGUCAAAUUAGCAUAUUUGUCAGUAUAUCUUAGAAAAAUUGGGACUUAGUGAUUAUUACCAUUUUAUUAAAAAGCAUAUUUUAUUUGAAGGGGCGAAAAAGAAGCCUCUGGCUUUCACUGUUAAUCUUUUAUUACAGUGAUACUGUUAGUCAACUUUACAGCUAUACAGAUUAUCUAUCUUAAAAAAAUAAGCCAUGUUUCUUUAACAAACUAAAACACUUUAGCAUUUUAGUUGUUUUAUUUAUUUUUUUACAAUCCCAAAGCAAUUUUUUUAAAAGGUCAGCCAUCACAUUCACAACUGUUAGCAGUUUUUAUAACAUAUGGGUCAUGAUGUACUUCAAAAGCAAGGAUCCAACUAAUUUGCAAAUAGUCUCUUUCCAGUCUCUAAUAUUUUCUCUCCUAUCUCUAUUUUAAAGAUUGUAUCUGAAAAAAUAUAAAUGUGUUUUCUAUUUCUAAAUGGCAAGAGAUCUUUGAAAAUGUUGUGUUUUUCCUCAUUUACUUGUUAGUUAUCAUGUAUGUUCUGUUUUUUAAAUGUCUUUGACAAUUUAAUUACGUCACUUAAUUUCGAAGGGGAAUGUUUUUAAAUUGUUUCUCAAACCUUAUAAAAAUUCCUCUUUUACUCCAAUUAAGCAUCUUAGGGCUUAACAUUUAACUUUUUGAGUUACUGGACAAAAAAUUACUGUAUCCACUUGACAUACUUACUAUCAUUUGCAGUUAAGAUAAAAAGUCUCUUAACUCUUAAAAGGAAGAUAAAUUGAGGGAGGCACCAGCUAGGGAGUCCAGAGACCUGGAUCCUAUAAAUGCCUAAGUUCAUUUCCUUUCAUACCCUUAGAGCAGGGACAGGAGAAACAUACCGCAGAGCCACUAAACCAGCACUUAAAGAUACCAUACAAAUGUCUGUUUCCUAAUGCUUAGGAAGCAGCCACAAAGUUAUAGAUAAAUACACCUCGUUUCAGAAGUCAUAUGCCCUAAACUGACAAAUCAAAUGCCACCAUAUAAACUGCUGCAAAGUUUAAAAACUUUACAUUGCAUACGACCAUUUUACACUUUCAAAGUUGUAAGUUUUAG